rnacentral:rRNA from 1 species
GACGAACGCUGGCGGCGUGCUUAACACAUGCAAGUCGAACGGAAAGGCCCUGCUUGCUGGGUACUCGAGUGGCGAACGGGUGAGUAACACGUGGGUGCUCUGCCCUGCACUUCGGGAUAAGCCUGGGAAACUGGGUCUAAUACCGGAUAGGAGCCAUUUUUAGUGUGAUGGUUGGAAAGUUUUUUCGGUGUUGGAUGAGCUCGCGGCCUAUCAGCUUGUUGGUGGGGUAAUGGCCUACCAAGGCGGCGACGGGUAGCCGGACUGAGAGGGUGGACGGCCACAUUGGGACUGAGAGACGGCCCAGACUCCUACGGGAGGCAGCAGUGGGGAAUAUUGAACAAUGGGCGCAAGCCUGAUGCAGCGACGCCGCGGGGGGGAUGACGGCCUUCGGGUUGGAGAAUCCUUUCGGUAGGGACGAAGCUUUUUGUGACGGUACCUAGAGAAGAAGCACCGGCUAACUACGUG